rnacentral:rRNA from 1 species
CUCGAACUCCGAACGGGCAAGGAGCCGGGGUCGCCCGAUCGGACCCCGGACGUGAAGUCGACGAUGGUCGGUGGGCUGGUUUUGGUAAGCAGAACGGGCGAUUCGGGAUGAACCGGAAGCGGGGAGAAAGGGCCCGAGAUUGCGUCGACGCGGAUCCCGAAAAGGGCGUCGAUCCGUCGCGACAGCGGGACGGUGGUCAUGGAAGUCGAAAUCCGCUAAGAAGCGUGUAAAAACGUACCCGCCCAACGGAUCGGCCCCGAAAAUUGAUGGCGCUCGAACGCAACCCUCGAACCCCGCCGACGGAGGCUAGGGGAGGCCCCGUCGAGUAGGCGGACGCGCGGGUCGCUUCGACGCUCCCGCGCGAGCGGGGGCGAGCGGCCCGUGGUGCACAUCUUGGUGGUAGUAGCGAUCACCCAGGCGAGAACCCUGAGGGCCGAAGUGGAGAAGGGUUUCUCGAGAACGGCACUCGCUCGAGAGUUAGUCGAUCCUAAGCUGCCGGCGGCAGCCACGAAACGGUCGAUCGGGCGCGAGCCCGGCAGCCACGACCGGGCAGCGAAAGGGAAUUGGGAACCUCCUUCCC